GAAGUAAAACUUUUCAAAAUAUGUUGCCAUGGUCACAUGGCCUAAGAGAAAAUCCAUUUCUCCAUUUCUUUUUUUUCAGUUGUUUGGCAGGGGUAGUAGAGAAACACGGUCAACCACAUAACCAAGGACACACUUUGUUUCAUAUGCCAAUAGUCUUAAAGUAGAUUGUACAAGCAGUGGCCACGAAGAAUGAGCAUGCUUUCCUCGCCAGCAGUUAGAAGAAACUCCAGUGUGAAGACUACUGGAAUUCCAUUCUUUAACAAAGAAAAUAAAGCCCCUACCCCUCAAAACUCAAAAGAAGAAAUGCAAAAUUACUAACAAAUGAAAUAUAGGGCGUACAGUGUUCUGUGUCCAUACUUAUUUGUAAAUUUUUAAGCAUUUUAGUCUUCUUUACAUUUGAAACAAAGAGUGUUCACCAAAAGCAAGUAAAUCUAGCAGAACUACUUAUGGAAAUGGUAACCGAAAAGAAAACAAAAAGGAAAUGGUAACUGUCUCAACUAUGGGAGACAUUGAUGAGACUAUAAAAUAAUACUAAACAUCUCGUCUAAUCCUGUACAACACUACGUAUUUCAAGUCUAUUAAAUUGCUUUCCGGUACUUUUCAAUAGAC